rnacentral:rRNA from 1 species
CGCGUAGGUGGUUAAUUAAGUCAAAUGUGAAAUCCCCGAGCUUAACUUGGGAAUUGCAUUCGAUACUGGUUAGCUAGAGCAUGGGAGAGGAUGGUAGAAUUCCAGGUGUAGCGGUGAGAUGCGUAGAGAUCUGGAGGAAUACCGAUGGCGAAGGCAAUCCCCUGGGCCUGUACUGACGCUCAUGCACGAAAGGCUGGGAGCAAACA